rnacentral:misc_RNA from 1 species
AUUCAUGACUUCUUAUUUAGAGAGUUCUCUUAGAUCCAAAUAAAUCGGGCAAAUGCUUAAUUAAUUAGGUGAUUAGUUAUUAAUUCCAAUGUGCAAAAACACAGAGACUAAUCAUUAGUUCAAUGUUUAAAUUGAUCAAACAUGACUGAGGAAAAAUAAAUUUGUGAUCUAGGAGAACUCUCUAAAUAAGAAGUCAUGAAU